rnacentral:rRNA from 1 species
GGGGAAUUGUUCGCAAUGGGCGCAAGCCUGACGACGCAACGCCGCGUGGAGGACGAAGAGCUUCGGGUCGUCAACUCCUUUCGAUCGGGAAGAACGUUUCCGGGGUGCAUAAUCCCGGGAAGUGACGGUACCGAGAGAAGAAGCCCCGGCUAACUCCGUGCCCGCCGCCGCGGUAAUACGGGGGGGGCAAUCGUGGUUCGGAAUUACUGGGCGUAAAGGGCGUGUAGGUGGCCAACUAAGUCCGACGUGAAAUCCCCAGGCUUAACCUGGGAACUGCGUCGGAUACUGGAUGGCUUGAAUUCGGGAGAGGAAUGCAGAAUUCCAGGUGUAGCGGUGAAAUGCGUAGAUAUCUGGAGGAAUACCGGUGGCGAAGGCGGCAUUCUGGACCGACAUUGACACUAAAGCGCGAAAGCCAGGGGAGCAAAC